rnacentral:rRNA from 1 species
GCUUGCUUGGGAGAGUAAAGUGGCGCACGGGUGAGUAACGCGUGGGUAACCCACCUUCGAAUUUGGGAUAACUCCGCGAAAGCGGUGCUAAUACCGGAUAAGACCACAGCCGUUUCGGCGGCAGAGGUAAAAGCUGACCUCUCCAUGGAAGUUAGCGUUCGAAGACGGGCCCGCGUCCUAUCAGCUUGUUGGUGGGGUAAAGGCCUACCAAGGCAGCGACGGGUAGCUGGUCUGAGAGGAUGAUCAGCCACACUGGAACUGGAACACGGUCCAGACUCCUACGGGAGGCAGCAGUGAGGAAUUUUGCGCAAUGGGGGAAACCCUGACGCAGCAACGCCGCGUGGGUGAAGAAGGCUUUCGGGUCGUAAAGCCCUGUCAGGUGGGAAGAAACGCUUCAGCACUAAUAAUGCUGAAGCCUGACGGUACCACCAGAGGAAGCACCGGCCAACUCCGUGCCAGCAGCCGCGGUAAUACGGAGGGUGCAAGCGUUGUUCGGAAUUAUUGGGCGUAAAGAGCGUGUAGGCGGCUUGGUAAGUCAGAUGUGAAAGCCCUGGGCUCAACCCAGGAAGUGCAUUUGAAACUACCAGACUUGAGUACGGGAGAGGAGGGGGGAAUUCCCGGUGUAGAGGUGAAAUUCGUAGAUAUCGGGAGGAAUACCGGUGGCGAAGGCGCCCCUCUGGACCGAUACUGACGCUGAGACGCGAAAGCGUGGGGAGCAAACAGGAUUAGAUACCCUGGUAGUCCACGCCCGUAAACGAUGAGCACUAGGUGUUAGCGGG